rnacentral:lncRNA from 1 species
UUGUGACAAGCUCUGAAGACAAAGAUGUGACUACUUCUCCAUCUCUGCAUAAUGCCUAACAACAAAAUAGGUGUGAAAAUAGGCCUUUGCCACCCAUCCUAGUACUAAGUUCACAAAGUAAAUGCUAAAAAUCAAAGAUAAAACUUUCUGAAAAUGUAGUUUAUCGCAACAAAUACCACCUUGCUGAUGCAUAUUAAGCAGGAUUAGCAGUAAAACCACAAAAAGGCUGUCAGAUCAAACCUGAAUUUAAACAAAUUCUGACCAUAAGUUUUAACUUAGUUUCAAUGUUAAAAUACAGAAUAUUUUGAAGCAAAUUGAAACUAUGGGUUAGCUAAAUAGCAAUAAGACUUAUCCUGAUGAGUACCUGAUGGUUUCAAGUCUUGCAAUUAUUUUUUUUGAAAUUAUUGAAAAAUACAGUAAAAAUGUUUUCACAGCCACUAAGAUUGUUGGGUCUUCAUUUACCAUAGCUUCUUACAUGAUUAUAUUACAGAUAAUUUAAUUACCAGUGUCCCCUUAACUUUUCAA